rnacentral:rRNA from 2 species
CGGCGGACGGGUGAGUAACACGUGGGCAACCUGCCUGUAAGACUGGGAUAACUCCGGGAAACCGGAGCUAAUACCGGAUAACAUUUUCUCUUGCAUAAGAGAAAAUUGAAAGAUGGUUUCGGCUAUCACUUACAGAUGGGCCCGCGGUGCAUUAGCUAGUUGGUGAGGUAACGGCUCACCAAGGCAACGAUGCAUAGCCGACCUGAGAGGGUGAUCGGCCACACUGGGACUGAGACACGGCCCAGACUCCUACGGGAGGCAGCAGUAGGGAAUCUUCCGCAAUGGACGAAAGUCUGACGGAGCAACGCCGCGUGAGUGAUGAAGGCUUUCGGGUCGUAAAACUCUGUUGUUAGGGAAGAACAAGUACGAGAGUAACUGCUUGUACCUUGACGGUACCUAACCAGAAAGCCACGGCUAACUACGUGCCAGCAGCCGCGGUAAUACGUAGGUGGCAAGCGUUAUCCGGAAUUAUUGGGCGUAAAGCGCGCGCAGGCGGUUUCUUAAGUCUGAUGUGAAAGCCCACGGCUCAACCGUGGAGGGUCAUUGGAAACUGGGGAACUUGAGUGCAGAAGAGAAAAGCGGAAUUCCACGUGUAGCGGUGAAAUGCGUAGAGAUGUGGAGGAACACCAGUGGCGAAGGCGGCUUUUUGGUCUGUAACUGACGCUGAGGCGCGAAAGCGUGGGGAGCAAACAGGAUUAGAUACCUGGUAGUCCACGCCGUAAACGAUGAGUGCUAAGUGUUAGAGGGUUUCCGCCCUUUAGUGCUGCA